rnacentral:lncRNA from 1 species
UGGGUGCUUUGAUCCUGAAGUAGCCGUUCUUGUCCGUUUUGCCAACCACAUUGAGUGGAUACUUGGUGUUGUUGCACUGCAAUUUCACAGUCGCCCCUGCCCCCUCCCCCCAAAAACAUAUCAAAACAAUGUCUUUGUCAGUAUUCAUUUGGUGGUCAUUUUUUCUUUUUCUUUUUUUACUCAAAAUACUCUUGUGGUUUGAGAAUGAGUAAAGCAAGAUUUGUUUUUGAGAUUGAUUAAACCCAUGGACAAUAUUAAAAGAAUAAAAAAAAUAUUUAAAUACUAGGGACUUCAAAGAGAGAGCUUGAAAAAGGAAAAAGUAGCUAGCUAUGCUGCCAUAACCAUGCCUCCUACUGAAUGUGACAUAAACCUAGAACAAAGAGAAAGAAAGAGAUCAAGAGCACCUCUCUCUCUUUCUCUCUCUCUCUCUCUCCAUUCAAAAUCUGGGAAUGUAUACAUACUGCAUCCAUGAAAACAAAUGCACAUUCGCAUCCAUACGUAUGUUAUGUAUGCAUGAUGUAUAACUAAACAUAUAUGUGAAAUUAAUUGAAGUAAUAAUGAUGGAAAAAAUCAAGUAUGUAAAUGUUAGAAGCAGGGAAAGUUAAAUUGAAAGAGUUCGAAACUGACCGAGAACAGCGGUAGCUCCUAGGAGGGUAUCAGCUCCGGCGUACUUGCAAGACUUGCAAUAAACGACGCCUUGAACUUCAACAAGGCUCCUAGGGAAACGAUGGGUGGGUGUGGGUGGGUGAGCAGGAGCAACGUGCGGUGGAGGUGGGUGAGCAGGAGCAACGUGUGGUGGAGGUGGGUGAGCAGGAGCAACGUGUGGUGGAGGUGGGUGGGCAGGAGCAACGUGUGAAGGUGGGUGAGCAGGUGCAUGAGCGGGAGUGUGAGCCGGUGCAUGAGCCGGCGGGUGGGGGUGGUGGUGAUGAUGGUGGUGGCUUGGGGCGUGAGCCGGUGGGGCAGUAGGAGGGUGGCUGUGGUGGUGGUGGUGGUGGUGAUGGUGGGGGCUUGGUGCCGUUGCCGGGGUUACCGAGUGGUAGUGUGAUGGUGGCAUAGCCAUGGAACUCUCAGUGUAAACCUGUUCACCAUACACAGUGAAGCUGCAGCCGGCUAAGACCAAACAAACAUGAACAACAAUCAGUAAAGCUUUACCCAUUUUGUUUUGUUUUUUUUUUUCAGUCUUCUUUUAUCUCUAGUAAAGAAGAUGGCCAGCCAACUAGGGGGAGGGUGAGAGAGUGAGAGAGAUCGAGAGAGGUGGUGAAAACGAUCUCCGAUUGGGGGAAUUUAUAGGGGUUUUAACCCGUGAUUCUCUGCGGUUUUUUGUGAUAAAAUUUUUAUUUUAUAAUAUGGUGGUGGGGCUAUUAUUAUGCAUUAUGCUGUGAGGUGGACACAAACAUAAUGCAAAAGAAGAGAGAUAAUGAGAUAAUGCAAGAUUGAUUCGUUAAUUUGUUUUAGCGUUUGGUUGAGGCCCAAAUAAAAUUUGUUGAAUUUUUUUUUUAAUUUUAAAUCUAAUAUUAAAGUCUAAUGAUAUUCAUAAUACUGAUAUUCAAUGUCAAAUGUGUAGACAACUUCUAACAUCUCAAAUUGACUCCCAUAAUGUGUGUGUAUAUUAUUCAAGGAGACUUAAAAGGUCAUUCCACAUGUGUUGUGUGUAGAAAAAGAGUGACUAAUGAGUAGGGAUGGUAAAUUAAUCCGGACCAGGAUUGGACCCGGAUAAUCCGGUCCGGGUUUAACCCGUACCGGAAGGUAAUACAAUGCGGAUCCGAAAAGGAUAUUUUGAACCCGGAUAUAUUCCGGUCCGGAUCCGGUUUAUCUUAACCCGGAUGUCCGAAACCCGGACCCGAAUAAUUUAAUUAUAAAAGAAAAAAAAAAACCUAAUGCCUUAAGUCUUAACCUACUGCAGCCGCUUCUUUCUUCUCCAAUUUCUCUUUCUUUCUCCUCCAUCUUCUCUUUUCAUUAAAACAAACCCACUGCAGCUGCUUUCUUUCUUCUCCAAUUUCUCUUUCAUUCACUCAAAUGACUUGGAAAAAUCUUUGUAUUGAAAGGAAGACAAAGAGGAAUGCACCCAUUAAGGCUUAUACUCAUUUUUUGUCACUCUUGCUGGUUUUUGACAGCUACUUUCCGCCACUCUUGCUGAUUUUUUGUCACCAGAAAUUGCCGAAUCUCCACAGCAACUUUUUGACGAUGCUCUCCUCGACGCCGACGACAACACCAAUGCCACCAAAAAUCUGAAAACUCAGCAAUCCUCCCUCAACAUUCAUUUAGCUAUGGUUUCAGGAUUUUGGUGAUUUGAGAUUUGGAGAUUUGAGGAAGUAACAUCAAGAGAAAAAAAAAAAUUGUAAUAGAUAUGCGGGUUUAGAACCUGCAAUCCAAAAAUUUGACUUUUUCUGGGUUCAAUCCGAUUCGGACCUACAAUAAAAAUAUCCAGAUUAUAUCCAGAUCCGGUAUAACAAAAUUAUCAUUCGGAUUCAGAAUCGAAAAGACUGGACUCGAACCCGGAUCCAGAUUUUGCCAUCCCUAAUAAUGAGUGGGUUCCAUACGUUAUUUUACUUACUAGGGAAAAAUUAUACCGGUGGAGGAUUUUAAAAGGAUAAUUAGGAAUACAAGGUGAUUAAAUCCCAAGAGAUCGUUGUAAACAAGUGGCUCAGAGAUUCACAUGCAGAGGUGAGACCGUGCGAGUGGGCUCCGGAAUUUUGGCACAUGUAGCGAGGCAAUGUAGAAGUUUCCGAUGUUUCUUUGGUUACUGAACCUCUCGUCUUUAUUUUUUUAAAAUUAAAUUAAAUAGUACGUUGAUUCUUUGGUUUGGGAAAUUAAUGAUAUUUACUAAAACUCUUGGUAAAUGGUAAAUAAGAUGAAUGAUUGGUAUGGGCCCAACCAAAAAGUAAUGGCAAGUGAUAAAAUUUCGAGCUCUUUGUGGAUAAAGAAAGAAUAUUGUACGUUACAAUAAUUUUUGACGUUGAAGUUCCUGUGUUUCACAAGAAAAGUGAAAAUAAAAUAAAGCAACCUUAAUUUCCUCCGUUAUUAAAAAUAUUAUAAUAUUUUAAAAAUAUAUUAAUUAUUUAUUUUAAAUUAAUAAAAUAUAUUUAUUAUCUAUUAAAUUAUUAAUUAACGUUGAAAGAUAAUGACAUUAGAAGGGUAAUUUAAUAUUUUCACACGAUAUAAAAAAUAAUAAAAGAAUUUAAGAAUAUAAAAAUGAUAAUUUAAAAGUACGUAAGUGAUAAUAAGAUAAUUUAAGAGUAUAUAAAUAAUAAUUUUUUUAUUUUAAUUUAAAUUUCAAAAAUAAAAUAUCAAUUCGCUGUAUUAACUUUCAGAUGGUAACUAAUGAUUUAGUUAUUAGUAUAUAUAUUUUGUCAACUUAAAAUGAACGAUUAAUAUUAUUUUUUACAACAAAACAAAUAUAAGGUAUAAAAUGAUAAUUUCCCUAACAUAAAUAAAGAAAUGAAACACUAUUUUCGCUUUUGCCACUUUCGUUUUCGGUUUCGAAUUAUCGUCGGAGUCUAGAAACUAGGUUGUGUAUUUAUUAUAUGUGCUCUGUUUUUAUUUGUUUAUCUUUUCUCUGUUCUGACACCUUAGAAAACUUAAUCAGAAAACGACAUGGCAAGGAGAAAAGAAAAUAUUAUACUAGGGUUAUUGAUAUUAAAUCAGAGCUAGAAUUAGCCUUAGGGUUCCUUCUUUUAAACCCUAAAAAUUGAAAACUCAAGUUUAUUAUUUAUCGUAAUAUAAUUAAAUUCCGACAAAGUUAAAUAAUGGGUUCAUUUGAUGGGUAAGUCGUGUAAAAUUUAUCAAUCGUUUUUCGCGUAAAAUUAAUAGUAGAAAUUUCCAAAUCUAAGCGAAUGUCAAAUUUGGUCCAACGCAUGAAAUAAAUUAAAACUCUGGAGAUGAUAACUUUCUAGAUAAUGUAAUUGAGCUUUUUAUAUAUGGAACUGCAAAUGUAAUUCCUCUGUCCCGCAUUUCGGUCCUUUUAUAGAAGGUUAGAUAUUAUAUUUUGAUGAACUAUUAUUUGAACUAAUUAAAUAAUGAUCGCUCCUUGCACAUAUCCACUGGGAUGCGUUUCAAGAGACAGAAUGAUAUCUGCUGUACCGUACAUCCGCCUUGGCCGUACAGCAGAUUAAUAAAAUAUAUUUAUUAUCUAUUAAAUUAUUAAUUAACGUUGAAAGAUAAUGACAUUAGAAGGGUAAUUUAAUAUUUUCACACGAUAUAAAAAAUAAUAAAAGAAUUUAAGAAUAUAAAAAUGAUAAUUUAAAAGUACGUAAGUGAUAAUAAGAUAAUUUAAGAGUAUAUAAAUAAUAAUUUUUUUAUUUUAAUUUAAAUUUCAAAAAUAAAAUAUCAAUUCGCUGUAUUAACUUUCAGAUGGUAACUAAUGAUUUAGUUAUUAGUAUAUAUAUUUUGUCAACUUAAAAUGAACGAUUAAUAUUAUUUUUUACAACAAAACAAAUAUAAGGUAUAAAAUGAUAAUUUCCCUAACAUAAAUAAAGAAAUGAAACACUAUUUUCGCUUUUGCCACUUUCGUUUUCGGUUUCGAAUUAUCGUCGGAGUCUAGAAACUAGGUUGUGUAUUUAUUAUAUGUGCUCUGUUUUUAUUUGUUUAUCUUUUCUCUGUUCUGACACCUUAGAAAACUUAAUCAGAAAACGACAUGGCAAGGAGAAAAGAAAAUAUUAUACUAGGGUUAUUGAUAUUAAAUCAGAGCUAGAAUUAGCCUUAGGGUUCCUUCUUUUAAACCCUAAAAAUUGAAAACUCAAGUUUAUUAUUUAUCGUAAUAUAAUUAAAUUCCGACAAAGUUAAAUAAUGGGUUCAUUUGAUGGGUAAGUCGUGUAAAAUUUAUCAAUCAUUUUUCGCGUAAAAUUAAUAGUAGAAAUUUCCAAAUCUAAGCGAAUGUCAAAUUUGGUCCAACGCAUGAAAUAAAUUAAAACUCUGGAGAUGAUAACUUUCUAGAUAAUGUAAUUGAUUGUCCAAGUGAUUGAGCUUUUUAUAUAUGGAACUGCAAAUGUAAUUCCUCUGUCCCGCAUUUCGGUCCUUUUAUAGAAGGUUAGAUAUUAUAUUUUGAUGAACUAUUAUUUGAACUAAUUAAAUAAUGAUAUAAUUUUUAUUAUUUUAAUCGAGAUAUAAAUUAAAUAUUCUAAUUAAGCAAAUAUAGUAUUAUUUUUAUGUUUUCAUUGGCUUGAUUCUUGACCAAAUCAUCUUUCAGUACGCAUCCCUCAGUUGAUUACUGACAUGGCAUUAACCCUUCCCUGGUUGAGACGCAAGUAACAGGUACCUACUGGCGAUCGAGGUCGGUUGAAUUAUUUGAUGCAGUACAUCAUAAAAUUUUUUUACUAAAUUUGGUAUAGAUUAUAUCACAUUAACAUAAUUUUUUUAAUAAAAAUUUACUAAUGGUAUAUAAUUAAUAAUUCUUAAUUGACAUUUCUCUCUCCUACUUGUUUGCUUAUCCUUCCACCAUUUUUAUUUUAUUUUUUUCAUUUAUCUCUUACUUUGUGUUUUGUUUCAGCUUCUCAUAAACUCUUUCACUCCCAAUCUAUAAACAAAUAUUUUCAUGCAUUUGUCAUAGAAUUCCAGUUAAAUCAUAUAUUUUUGGUCCAACAGUACUUAUCGGAAAAAAAAUUAUUUCAACAAAAAAUCAUUGAUUUUUAUUUAAGCCCACAUUAAUUGAUCCACAUUUCCACACACAAGUAAAAUUAUACAACCUCGCAUACAAAAUGCAGCUUUUAAAGUUCAGAAGUUUCACUAUGCUCUGAUUUUACAAUCAUAAAGAUUGCAAAUAAUAUUUUUUUUUUAAUCAAAAAGGCAUAAAUGACAAAGCUUUUAUUAUAAUGAUCGGCCGAUGAAUCGCAUGUGCCAGAAGAGCCGAAGACAAACCCAGUAAAGCAGAAAAAACAAAAAAGUAUUAACUCAUAGGACAAGUUUAAUUAAUAAAAAUUAAUUAUAUUGAGUAAGAAAUAAGGAUCACUUAAAUUUUAUUUCUUCUUGUGUUUGGGGUAAAAGGAUUAUAUAUAGCUUUACUGAUGUAAUCAUCAUCAGGUAUGUGUAAUUUAUGAAGCUGCGUCCAUAACCGGAUCCACCAAGAAGUCACAUUUAAAUCGAACAGCUGUUUUUGUAUUCAAUCGAGAGAUUAUACAUUAGGCUUAGGGUUGCAGCACCUCAAUGGCGAGCUGAAAAUAAUAAAUUGUUGUUGACUUAGAAAUAUAAAAUGAAUUAGAAUGAUCGAGAUAAUCGGAUAUAACAGAUCAUAUUAUAAUAAAUACGAUCUGAUCCGAUGUAAUGGAGUUCGAUAAUAUCAAUACCGAUUGUGCGUAUAAGCCAAUAGCAGUUCUUGAUUUCUUGUAUUGUAUGAUUGUGUUGUAUCCAUUCGAUUCAAGCAUAAAAUAUAAAAAAUGAGACGGGUAUGAGUUGAGCAGUGCUGCAAAAGAAAAGAUGAUCGCCCACUCAGCCGCUUGGCAGUUUGCAUGCAGUCCAUGAGCAGCCAUUUUUCAUUCAGCUGCUCACCGUCCUUGGUCCUUAUUCCUAAUAUUUAUUACCCUAUCAACUAACUCUCUUGUAAUUUUUUUUUUUUUUUACAACAUCAAUGAUAUAAGUAACAUGUACUGUUGAAUCUAAUCAGCUGUACAAAUUAUUUCUAUUAAUAAUUUUUUUAAAAUAAUAGAACUAGUUAACAAUCGGUUCAAAAUGUGAUUUGAAAUUUAAAAAAAAAAGUAAAAAGAGAUAUGAUAAAAAUAAUAAUAUCUCGGGUUCUUUUAUUUAAAAUUAAACAAGUAUUACUUAUUUUAUAGCAUUUUGAUGUCGAAACAUAUGAACCGCUUUGAUUAUUUUAAUUGAUUUGAUAGUUAAUCCUUGUGACUUUGAGUCCUAUUAUCAAAUUGGGUUACUUUAAAAAAAAAAUGAAAGAGAAAGUGGUUGUGCAAGGGUUUAUCAAUGAUUAUUUUUUAGGUACUUAAACUUAUAUCUAAGGCUGAACCUUAUCUAAACUACUUGCUUUUGGUCGCCCGAGCACAGCCUGCCAACAAUUAUGGCGGUUGAAUUUGAAUGGAAGACUAGUAUUCUUUCCAAGCAGUGGACCUAAGAAAGGGCGAAGCAAGUGACUUUUACAAUUACUUUGCUUCUUCUGUUCAUUAAAAUACACUUUGCAUUUGACGUGUGGUUAUUUCAAGAUGAUUUGGUACCAAAACUUAUUUUUAAGUUAUGCCAAUUAAAUUCAAAAUAGCAAUAUUUAAUUGUUUUCAUUAUACCCCGGAAAUUCUUCUUUUGUUAAAUUAAAAUUAUGCAUAAUUUGAUUCUAUAAGAAUGUAGCCCGUAUAAUGGUCGACUUUUACCUAUCUAAUUCUUUGAAAUAUUUUAUAUUUGUAUGAAUAAUAUGAUCUUCCAGGGACUUUUAGUCGCUCAUGUGCUUUAUUUUGUUAUCCCUCGUAUAUUCUUUGGUUUCAUGAUUGUUGAUUUCAUGUAGAAGAUUUAUUUAUAUUUGUACAGGAAAGAUAGUUUUACUUUUCAAAUUAUCACAGGAGACUCUCUGCUUGUUAUUGACUUAUUAUUUCAUCAAUUGUGCUAGAUGAAGGAAAUGGAGUUCAAGAAGUUGUUCGAUACACAAAAUAUUGCUGCCUUGCUGCCUUUCGUAUUAAGAGGAAUCCGAUUCAGUGUGUUCUCCUUCCUCACUGCUCGUUGCCAGCUCUUGAAGUGCACCCAACAUUUACCGUACGAAAAGCGGUCUGCUGUACCGUACAUCCGCCUUGGCCGUACAGCAGAAUAAAAAUGAAAAUGAAAAUGGUGUUUUGCAAUUGCUGUAUUUCGAAUUUCAAUAUGUGUCUAGUAUCAUUUUCUGUAUCCUGUAUUUUAAAACUAAAAACUAAAAACAGUAAUAUGCGUUUGGUAGACACAGUUGAAAAUUAGGGGUGGGCAAUAGUCGGUUCGGCCGAGCCGAGCCGAACCGAACCAAAACCAAUCGGUUCUUUAGAAGAUGAACCGAAUAGGGACCGAAUUUAGGAACCGAACCGAACCGAACCGAAAUAUUUCGGUUCGGUUCGGUUCGGUUCCUAAAUUCGGUCCCUAUUCGGUUCAUCUUCUAAAGAACCGAUUGGUUUUGGUUCGGUUCGGCUCGGCUCGGCCGAACCGACUAUUGCCCACCCCUAAUUUUCAACUGUGUCUACCAAACGCAACUACGCACAGGAUCCUUCAACAACGUUCUUCCAAAGAUUGGUGUAGGUAACAAGUUCUGUGCUGCCACCCAACUUCGAAAAACUUCCCACACACACAUUCCCCCACACACACCCACACCCACACCUAGUAGCCCUGCUGUACGGCCAAGGCGGAUGUACGGUACAGCAGAUGACACACACACACACACACACAUAUAUAUAAAUCGGUCUCAAGUUAGUCUUGACUGUAAAAUCCAUUUUGUGGCGAAGUGCAAAGUAUGACAAGAGAUGACAAGGCAAAAGCAGCCAGCCAAUAUAACAAGAUAAUAAAUAAUAGUAUCACCACCAAUCUAGCGAGUUCACUUCGUUUAUCCUUAAUGAAGUCAAGCAUGACAAUGCCAAAAGAUAGUCAAUCAUAAUUAAAAUUCAAAACAAGUGAAAAAAAAUCAUCAUAAAACCUUGAAAAUCAUUGUAGACAAGGUUCCAUUAUCCAUAGCAACAAAAGUCAUGGCAACUAAUUAUAACCACUGAUCUCCAAAGGGCACCAUACACUAUCAUAAUUGAAGUAUUCUGCUGCUUGACUUACAACAUCAAGAACAUCAGGUCAAAAAGGGCCAGAAUCCUUUCAGCUUGUUAGUCUGCUACUGUCAUGAUGCAAACCACUCACUGGCAGGCAUCUGUUUUUAGAAAAAAAAAGACUUCGACCUGUAAUCAUCAAAUCGUAAUUUAGCAAUCAGCAAUUCAAAUCCGCUACAGGGUUGAGCAACCUUUUGCAAAUCAAAAAGUUUGCACUAAUUCACAUAAUACAACUAAUACUAAAAUGAAUCUAAAACUCAGAUCAGGAAGUGGUCAAAGCCAUUAAAGGAAUGGUCAGAGUGUAACAAGCUACCAGGUGUUAACAAUGGAGGGAAGUGGUACAGUGUGCUUGAAUAUGCAAAAACAAUCAGAGUCUACCAACUGCAAUGAACUGGAUGCAGUAGGAAAUGCAUUAGUUGCCACCGUUAAGAAGAUAACCGUUGCCCACAGACAACAACAGUGUUGGAUACAUCCUAAGAAGAAACAGGGUACCUUCACUUUAUCUCUUUUAAGAAGAUUAAACAGUUCAAUAUGGAGGUAUAACAGAAACAGUGGACUACACUGAAGAAGAUAUUCGAUUGAAAAUUAAGGAGUUGAUUAAAUCUUUAAGAUACUGAGACAGCAUAGUUUUUUAUGAAUGGAAACAAAAUAGUAGCCAUGUUGCAAGUUACAAAUUCAGCCUGGAAGCAGAAUUUUUUUUUGCGACAAGGAUGGCAUGAAGAUGACCGGCGUCGCACGAGCUUUCAAUCGGUACCAACCUUGGUCGGAGGAGUGGCCGGAAACGGAGACAAAAUCCGAGUUGGGUUCGUGGGUAUUGUGAUAAAGAGAGGGGUAUUGUGAUGUAUGUGCAAUAUAGAAUAAAAAUGUGUAAAUAGUAAAUAGUUUAAGGUGCUAAGUAAAAUGUUCAUAUGGAUGCAGUAGAAAUUAACUUAAUAUUUAUAAAGUAAAGAUUAAAUAAAAUUGAGUAAAAUGGGUUCUAUAAAAAUUUACAAUUGUGCUGACAAAAAGACAAAAAUAGUGGUACGGUACCACUGUGGUACCGUAGCUUGAUCCUCCUUAAAGUUUGAAUUAAUGAUAGAAUUACACAAAUAUUUUACUUUAGUGGGCUUAUUGAUGACAUGCGUAUCAUUUUUGUCAAUUUAUAGUUGUAAAUUUAUAUUUUUAAAAUGUAUUUUAAUCAUCAUUCCUACUUACCUCACAAAGUUGCUUUGUUUUCCCAAAAAAAGAAAAAGAAAAAAACCGUUUGAAAUAUUUUUUACGUGAUGCAUAAUUAUUGUGAGAAAAUAUAUACGAUGUUUGGGUGUUGUUUUACCAAUUUUCUAUCUAAAUAUGCAUAUGAAUAAACAUGUGAUUGACUUGUAAAAAUAAUGUGGUACUUUAAAUGUACAAAAUCGAUUAUGGAAUGCAAUUUAAUAUGCUCUAUAUUACUUUGAAGUUGGACACCGCGGUUAACUAACUACAAUAUGCACUAAAAAGGUGCUAUUGAAAUGAAUAUGUGAUUUUAAUCAUUUUAAAAUCUGAAAUUUGUGAUCUAAAACAUUUCGGGCAGAUGUUUAAUCGCAGCAGUUAUCUUUCACAAAUUAAAAAUUUUUACAUCAAAUUUUUUAGAGUAAUGAUACAGCCACAAACUCUUGUACAAACUUAUUUUGUACAAACUGACGUGGCAUGAUAAGAUUGGUUGAAUGAAAAUAUAAAUUAAUAAAAACAAAUCAUGUGGGCCAAGUGAUAUUUAAUUCAACCAAUCUUAUCAUGCCACAUCAGUUUGUACAAAAUAAAUUUGUACAAGAGUUUGUGGCUGUAUCAUUACUCAAUUUUUUAUUUUAUUUUAAGUGGUCGUCAAUUUAUCUUCCAUUCCUAGUUUUUUUUUUAAAUACCGAUAAUACACCAGAUUAUUGAAUUACAUUAGAUAUUUACAAUUGUUAUUACAAUAGAUAAUUAUAUUGAUAUUUAUAAUCAGACAUAUAAUUGGAGGUAUUAAAGUACCUUGUCCAGAUAAAUAACCCUCACAAACGAAGAAUAUUUCUACUCCAUUCUUAUUUCAUAAGGAAAAGAACUUACAAAUAAAUCUACACAAUUAUACAUAAUUCUUAAUUCUCAUUACCCUCAUUAUCUGUGAGGGUAAUGAGGGUAAAAGUUCACCGGUCCAGUGCUAUGCUAGUUAAGUGAUUGUGAUCUAACCAUUCGGGAAAUCUCAAUAGACCUUGUAUUUCGGUCGUUUUACAUUUUCCAUGACCAAUGGGCCAGCGCCACAAAAUAAAUUAAGAUUUAAAAUAACUAACAUAAAUGAUUAUUUAAUUUAAUAAUACUAGGGGAAAAAAAAGAGAGUAAACAAAUUCCAAGGACUUGACUUUUCUUUUUGAACAGUAUGCCAGGAAAAAAGUAACAAUUGCUAUGUCUCUCAUGUUUGCCACAAGGCAGACCACUCAAUUAGUUUCAUUACUUCCCUUUUUCUUGGUUUUGAUUAAAUAUAUAUAUAAUUACCAUUUAAUUUUAGAUCCGCCGUAAAAUUUUAUAACAUGGGUACAUUUAUGAUGACAAAAACAUUAAAAAAGAGGAAAAAAAACAUGAUCCAUAGCAUAUGCAUUUAUAAAUAUAAUUCAUAUUCAAACAAUGAGCCUCAUAAUUUAUUUGUUGCUAAUUAAACUAGCGGGAUACUAUAAUUUAUUAAUGCCAACGAAGCGACACAGUACAAAUAGACUUGCACUUGUGAGCUCCGUAGCUGAUGAUUGUCUUGGGUGCUUUGAUCCUGAAGUAGCCGUUCUUGUCCGUUUUGCCAACCACAUUGAGUGGAUACUUGGUGUUGUUGCACUGCAAUUUCAGAGUCGCCCCUGCAAUUGAACCCAUGGACAAUAUUAAAAGAAUAAAAAAAAAUUUAAAUACUAGGGACUUCAAAAAGAGAGCUUGAAAAAGGAAAAAGUAGCUAGCUAUGCUGCCAUAACCAUGCCUCCUACUGAAUGUGACAUAAACCUAGAACAAAGAGAAAGAAAGAGAUCAAGAGCACCUCUCUCUCUCUCCAUUCAAAAUCUGGAAAUGUAUACAUCACGCAUCCAUGAAAACAAAUGCACAUUCGCAUCCAUACGUAUGUUAUGUAUGCAUGAUAUCUAACUAAACAUACAUGUGAAAUUAAUUGAAGUAAUAAUGAUAGAAAAAAAUCAAGUAUGUAAGAGUUUGGAGCAGGGAAAAUUAAGUUGAAAGAUUUCGAAACUGACCUAGAACAGCGGUAGCUCCUAGGAGGGUAUCAGCUCCUGCGUACUUGCAAGACUUGCAAUAAACGACGCCUUGAACUUCAACAAGGCUCCUAGGGAAACGAUGGGUGGGUGUGGGUGGGUGAGCAGGAGCAACGUGUGGUGGAGGUGGGUGAGCAGGAGCAACGUGCGGUGGAGGUGGGUGAGCAGGAGCAACGUGUGAAGGUGGGUGAGCAGGUGCAUGAGCGGGAGUGUGAGCCGGUGCAUGAGCCGGCGGGUGGGGGUGGUGGUGAUGAUGGUGGUGGCUUGGGGCGUGAGCCGGUGGGGCAGUAGGAGGGUGGCUGUGGUGGUGGUGGUGGUGGUGAUGGUGGGGGCUUGGUGCCGUUGCCGGGGUUACCGAGUGGUAGUGUGAUGGUGGCAUAGCCAUGGAACUCUCAGUGUAAACCUGUUCACCAUACACAGUGAAGCUGCAGCCGGCUAAGACCAAACAAACAUGAACAACAAUCAGUAAAGCUUUACCCAUUUUGUUUUGUUUUUUUUUUUCAGUCUUCUUUUAUCUCUAGUAAAGAAGAUGGCCAGCCAACUAGGGGGAGGGUGAGAGAGUGAGAGAGAUCGAGAGAGGUGGUGAAAACGAUCUCCGAUUGGGGGAAUUUAUAGGGGUUUUAAGCCGUGAUUAUCUGCGGUUUUUUGUGAUAAAAUUUUUAUUUUAUAGUAUGGUGGUGGGGCUAUUAUUAUGCAUUAUGCGUUAUGCAUUAUGCCGUGAGGUAGACACAAACAUAAUGCAAAAGAAGAGAGAUAAUGAGAUAAUGCAAGAUUGAUUCGUUAAUUUGUUUUAGCGUUUGGUUGAGUCCAAAAUAAAAUUUGUUGAAUUUUUUUUUAAUUUUAAAUCUAAUAUUAAAGUCUAAUGAUAUAUUCACAAUACUGAUAUUCAAUGUCAAAUGUGUAGACAACUUCUAACAUCUCAAAUUGACUCCAUAGUGUCAGUGUGUGUAUAUAUUAUUCAAGGAGACUUAAAGGUCUGUCCACAUGUGUUGUGUGUAGAAAAAGAGUGACAAAUAAGUGGGUUCCAUACGUUAUUUUACUUACUAGGGAAAAAUUAUACUGGUGGAGGAUUUUAAAAGGAUAAUUAGGAAUACAAGGUGAUUAAAUCCCAAGUGAUCGUUGUGAACAAGUGGCUCAGAGAUUCACAUGCAGCGGUGAGACCGUGCGAGUGGGCUCCGGAUUUUUGCGCAUGUAGCGAGGCAAUGUAGAAGUUUCCGAUGUUUCUCUGGUUACUGAACCUCUCGUCUUUAUUUUUUAAAAUUUAAUUAAAUAGUGCGUUGAUUCUUUGAUUUGGGAAAUUAAUGAUAUUUACUAAAACUCUUGGUCAAUGGUAAAUAAGAUGAAUGAUUGGUAUGGGCCCAACGAAAAAGUAAUGGUAAGUGAUAAAAUUUCGAGCUCUUUGUGGAUAAAGAAAGAAUAUUGUACUUUACAAUAAUUUUUAACGUUGAAGUUCCUGUGUUUCACAAGAAAAGUGCAAAUAAAAUAAAGGAACCUUAGGCCCCGUUUGGUACCGUUUUGCAAGCUAUGUUUUUGUUUUCAUUUUUAUAAUACACACAUAAAACAUGUUUGGUGGAUUUGUUUCACAAAAUAAAUUACAAAACACAAAAUCCGGAUUCAUUAUUAUAACUAUACAACUAAAAAAUAAGUUAAACAUGUUCUCCAAAAUUUACAAACUAAAACUAAAAAUGAAUUAAAAAACAACAAAAAAAUCGUGACCCUGCAGCCCUCACUUUUCUCUUCACAGCAGCCCUCACUCUCAAUCCAGUUCACUGCAGCUCCCUAUUUCCCCUCAAUUUUCUCAAUCCAGUUGCAGCAAAUCUCUCUCUUGGUCGCUCUUGGUCUGCUAGCCACUGCCGCUGCUCUUUCUCCGCCGUAACCGCUGCUGCUCCGACUCCGUCCAGCUACUGCUACUCCGACUCCGUCCAGCUGCUGCUACUUAGUCUUUGCUCUCUCGGAUCUGCACUUGCUCUCUCGGAUCUGCACUUGCUCUCUUGGAUCUUCGUCUACUGCUACUUCGUUGUUGCUCACUCGGAUCUGCACUUGCCCAACCAUUGUUGCUCUCCCGGAUCUGUCACUUGCCGGUAUUUAUUUUGUUUAUAAGCUGAAAUUUUUGAGAGAUGAUUUGAGUGAUUUUUAAUUCUGAAAAUUUCUGACGUUGUUCAUAUGUAGUGACAAAUUAUUUAUUUAUGAGCUGAAAUUUUUCCUCAUUUAUUUUAGAGAUUAAAUCUAUUAAAACAAACAAUUUCUUGUGGGAAUUCCUUUAUGCUGAUUGGAAAACUUUCCACUGUUAUUGACUUAAUUAAGCGUGCAAAAGUACUCUAGACUAUGAUAGUUGAAACCCAAAAAAGCAAUGUUAAAAAUAGCCAGCAUAUGGAUUAUGAUGCCAGAUUUUUGUUUCAUCCCUAUGUUUGUUCCUCAGACCAAGGAAAGACGCUGAGCCAUUUAGAAAAUCGCAAUUACUAUAGGCUUGAGACAUAGCUAUCUCUGUACCAAUAUAAAUUCUAUGAAAUUACUAGAACAAAAAAUAUUAGCAAAAUAAAGUGCACAAUUUGUUUUUAUUUAGAUACUUCUACAAAUUUUGGUAUUUAGCUACACCAUAACCAGACAUCUUGAUGACUAAAUUGUUCCCAAAAACACUACACUAGCAUACCAAAUACCUGGGUGGGUAUUUCCGUGGUAAAUAAGAUGAAUGAUUGGUAUGGGCCCAACGAAAAAGUAAUGGUAAGUGAUAAAAUUUCGAGCUCUUUGUGGAUAAAGAAAGAAUAUUGUACGUUACAAUAAUUUUUAACGUUGAAGUUCCUGUGUUUCACAAGAAAAGUGAAAACAAAAUAAAGGAUUUAAAAAUAUAUAAGUGAUAAUUUUUUUUAUUUUAAUUUAAAUUUUAAAGGUAAAAUCAUUAAUUCGUUAUAAUUAUAUUAAUUUUUAAAUGAUAACUAAUGAUUUAGUGGUCGAUAAAUAUAUUUUGUCAGCUUAAAAUGAACGAUUGAUAUUAGUUUUAACAACGAAACAAAUACAGGGCAUAAAAUGAUAAUUUCCCUAAAAUAAAUAAAGAAAUGAAACGCUAUUUUCGCUUUUGCCACUUUCGUUUUCGGUUUCGAAUUAUCGUCGGAGUCUAGAAACUAGGUUGUGUAUUUAUUAUAUGUGCUCUGUUUUUAUUUGUUUAUCUUUUCUCUGUUCUGACACCUUAGAAAACUUAGUCAGAAAACGACAUGGCAAGGAGAAAAGAAAAUAUUAUACUGGGGUUAUUGAUAUUAAAUCAGUGCUAGAAUUAGCCUUAGGGUUCCUUCUUUUAAACCCUAAAAUUUGAAAACUCAAGUUUAUUAUUUAUCGUAAUAUAAUUAAAUUCCGACAAAGUUAAAUAAUGGGUUCAUUUGAUGGGUAAGUCGUGUAAAAUUUAUCAAUCGUUUUUCGCGUAAAAUUAAUAGUAGAAAUUUCCAAAUCUAAGCGAAUGUCAAAUUUGGUCCAACGCAUGAAAUAAAUUAAAACUCUGGAGAUGAUAACUUUCUAGAUAAUGUAAUUGAGCUUUUUAUAUAUGGAACUGCAAAUGUAAUUCCUCUGUCCCGCAUUUUGGUCCUUUUAUAGAAGGUUAGAUAUUAUAUUUUGAUUAACUACUACUUUAACUAAUUAAAUAAUGAUACAAUUUUUAUUAUUUUAAUUGAGAUAUAAAUUAAAUAUGCUAAUUAAGUAAAUAUAGUAUUAUUUUUAUGUUUUCAUGGGCUUGAUUCUUGACCAAAUCAUCUUUCAGUACGCAUCCCUCAGUUGAUUACUGACAUGGCAUUAACACUUCCCUGGUUGAGACGCAAGUAACCGGUACCUACUGGCGAUCGAGGUCGGUUGAAUUAUUUGAUGCAGUACAUCAUAAAUUUUUUUUACUAAAUUUGGUAUAGAUUAUAUCACAUUAACAUAAUUUUUUUAAUAAAAAUUUACUAAUGGUAUAUAAUUAAUAAUUCUUAAUUGACAUUUCUCUCUCCUACUUGUUUGCUUAUCCUUCCACCAUUUUUAUUUUAUUUUUUUCAUUUAUCUCUUACUUUGUGUUUUGUUUCAGCUUCUCAUAAACUCUUUCACUCCCAAUUUAUGAACAAAUAUUUUCACGCAUUUGUCAUAGAAUUCCAGUUAAAUCAUAUAACUUUUUUUUUUAAGUCUAUUAUACAGAGAUAUUACAGACAUUACAAUUAAUAUUUACAAUCAUAUUAUAUAAUUGGGACCACUACCAUACACUGACACACUAAAGUAUAUGCUCAGAUGCUCUGCUCGUUGCCAGCUCUUGAAGUGCACCCAACAUUUACCGUACGAAAAGCGGUCAGUUUCCAUACCUUUUGAGCAUGCUUACUAGGACUAGGCAUUGGAUUGGAUUCGGAUAAGAACUUGUCAACUUGAAUUAGACAAAGUCUACGAACCCAACCAAACCCACGAACCCAGCCGCAUUGACAUCGUUGGCCAGAUUCACAAACCCGCAGCCACAAACGUAGUCGGCAGCCCCAAACCCACAUCAACUCCCGAACCAGCCAGCACCGAACCUCUGGGAAGAAGGAAAGACUAAUUGUUUCAGUUGUCAUGACCUCUACUAAUUGAUUCUUGAUCUUCGAAAGAGAGGAGUUGGAGAAUCUUUUUCCAGACAUGGCAAUUAAACUUGAAGGAUUGACACUUGGUGGAAAUCAAUGCUUUGUUGUCAUUAUUGCUCUUAUUAUUCUCCUUUUGCCCACAAUUUGGCUAGACAAUCUUAGCCUUCUUUGGCAAUUGGUAACCACAUCGACGUCCCCCCCAAAUUCAACUGAUAUUUGUCAUUUGAAUUUAACCUGGUCUGAUCCUAUCCCAAAUUAAUCUGACAUAUUCAUCCCAUCAGAAUCCAAUCCGAUUUAAGGUUCAGAUUGUGUUCAGUUUUGAAAGAGAUCUCUCAUUCUGACAUCUUCUACGCACAGGAUCCUUCACAACCUUCCUCUUCCAAAGAUUAAUUGGUGUAGGUAACAAGUUUUGUGCUGCCAAUGUUAAAUGGCCCAACUUCGAAAAACUUCCCACACUAGCGUUAUCUUGUAAGGAAAAACGCAUGCAUGGAAACAUGACACACACACACACACACACAUAUAUAUAAAUCGGUCUCAAGUUAGUCUUGACUGUAAAAUCCAUUUUGUGGCGAAGUGCAAAGUAUGACAAGAGAUGACAAGGCAAAAGCAGCCAGCCAAUAUAACAAGAUAAUAAAUAAUAGUAUCACCACCAAUCUAGCGAGUUCACUUCGUUUAUCCGUAAUGAAGUCAAGCAUGACAAUGCCAAAAGAUAAUCAAUCAUAAUUAAAAUUCAAAACAAGUGAAAAUUAAUAAUCAUAAAACCUUGAAAAUCAUUGUAGACAAGGUUCCAUUAUCCAUAGCAACAAAAGUCAUGGCAACUAAUUAUAACCACUGAUCUCCAAAGGGCACCAUACACUAUCAUAAUUGAAGUAUUCUGCUGCUUGACUUACAACAUCAAAAACAUCAGGUCAAAAAGGGCCAGAAUCCUUUCAGCAUGUUAGUCUGCUACUGUCAUGAUGCAAACCACUCACUGGCAGGUAUCUGUUUUCAGAAAAAAAAAAGACUUCGACCUGUAAUCAUCAAAUUGUAAUUUAGCAAUCAGCAAUUCAAAUCCGCUACAGGGUUGAGCAACCUUUUGCAAAUCAAAAAGUUCGCACUAAUUCACAUAAUACAACUAAUACUAAAAUGAAUCUAAAACUCAUAUCAGGAAGUGGUCAAGCCAUUAAAGGAAUGGUCAGAGUGUAACAACAAGCUACCAGGUGUUAACAAUGGAGGGAAGUGGUACAGUGAGAACAGUGUGCUUGAAUAUGCAAAAACAAUCAGAGUCUACCAACUGCAAUGAACUGGAUGCAGUAGGAAAUGCAUUAGUUGCCACCGUUAAGAAGAUAACCGUUGCCCACAGACAACAACAGUGUUGGAUACAUCCUAAGAAGAAACAGGGUACCUUCACUUUAUCUCUUUUAAGAAGAUUAAACAGUUCAAUAUGGAGGAAUCACAAUUAUCCUGUUGCCCUAAGAUCAAGAUUACAGAGGAAGUUCUAUCUAUGCUUUGUAUUUUAAGUUUUGAUCCGAAGAAAGAACUAUGUUUCUUGGAUCACCUUCAAAACCUUGCAAUAGAGUAAAAGGACAAUUUCAGCUUGAGAAGUAAUUGAGCCAUAAGUCGCUUAUCUCGCUAACCGCUGAGAAAAAUUACGCAUUCCUUAUCACUGAUCCUAACAUCAAGCAUUUGAAGUAUUCAGUCAAGGAAAUUAAAAAAAUCAGUUCCUAGGGUUUUAAGAAGAAACAUAGGAUCAUCUUAUUCCAAACGGCCACCACUAAUAAAAGUUACAUAACAACCUUAAUCCCAGAGUAAUAGGACAAAAGUGUCAACUCACUCUUUUCCAGUCCUUAUGUCCUUUCUGCUCUUGGAAUUAAGGGACAGAAAUCCCUUCAUGUCCUUUCUUUGAUCUUCUUUUAGUUCCUAUUUCAUGUGCUCUUUUUCUAGUGGCCAACAAGUCCCAGCAUGCUAAGGCAAGAAACCGAGACAUACUAGUAUUUAACUUAUCAAUCCUUAGCAUGACAGAAACGCCAAAAGGACCAUGCCUAGAAUGCAGAAGCCAAAAUAGGCAAACACUACUGGAACCUCUCAGCUCAUCUCACAUAUAUUCAACAUAUCACAACCAGUAUCUUGACCUUGGAAUUCAGUAUUGUUGUCCAGCAUUAACCACAAAAAUUCAUUAACCAUGUUUCAGCUGCUUUGACAUAUAUAUUAUAGAUACAAAAACUACAAAUCUUAAUGCAAACAAUAGUUAUAGAAGACAUGUAGCUAAAAGAGUACAACUCAUUAAAGUGCAAACGCUAAACCAAAAUAAAUAAAAUAUAAUAACGAAUAUUACCAUCAAGCUUGAGCAUCAACAACAACAUCAUCCAAAUCAUUUGCAGCUCCAUUUGCCUCCACUCCUUCAGCAUUCUCAGUAGGUGGCUGAACCUGCUCCUCCUCUGGCAAAGGCUCCUCCACAUAAUCAUUCUCAAAUGCAUCUGGAGGAACCUCAUAGAUCCUCACUUGCGGCUUAGAUGGAUCCUUCACAAGCACAUACUUCCCCUCAUUCAACUUCAUGCACAAAUCCACAAUACUCUUCACAAUUCCCCACAUAUUUGCAGUACUCAAGUUAAUCUGGGUGGCAAAAUCCUUUGGCUUAUACCCCAUCACAGCCAAUAUCACAUGGUUAAAAUGAUCACGUGGAUGAACCCUUGAAACAUAUCCCAAUUUCAUCAAAUCAGCACUCGCCAACAACGAUUGUGCAGUCCAUUUUGCCAACUUAUUAGCAUUGUUCUUCAACUCAGUGGCUAAAACCGCACCCCUUUGAGUCUCCAACUUCUGCCUCCAAUCAACACCAGAGUACUUGGAAUCGAACUCAUUAAGAGCAUUUAACGUCAAAAACGACCUCUGAUUAUUAACAUCCACAACACUCUGCACCUCACACCUCGCAACAAGAUACAUAUCAUCGUCAAGCUUCCACCUUCUGUACCUAUAAGCUACGGAAGCUACCUCCUCUCCUUCAUUUGCAAAGGGAUUAGGCUCAUCAAAUGUCAACUUAUUACCAUCCCUAACCAAAACUUGCUGUGAAAAGUUCUGAUUAAUAUAAGCUGCUUCAACACUCAACGAAUAAGCAGAAUUUAUAUCAUCUUUAGCCUCAGGUAAAGGCUCCUGAGAGGUCUCAUGAACAGAUAACAAAUCUAACUGUGACCCAUCCCUUUUAUCAAAAAAUAACUUAUUCCCAACUCGUUGAAUCACAAUAUCCCACGAAUAAACUGACCUGGGCGCGCACAUAAGCGUUGCUAAAAUUGCAUCCGUUGCAAAAACCGUUGCUUUAUCCUCAUUAGCAAGUCUACGAAUCACUGGAUCGUCAGUGGUAGUAACUUUGAAGAAGUUCCUGUACUUAAACCUCUCGAGCCUACGUUCAUUCUUCGGCGUGACACGAUCGUACGACCUGUCGUAGUACUCAAGGGACCCACACAAUAACAAGUCUUCAGGCUCCGAAACAGAGAAGGAAAGUUUUGAAAAAGUUGAGAAGGGAAUUUGAUCAAGCAUGUUCCAUUCGGGCUGAAUGUCGACAGAGGAUUUGAAAACUGCAGCUUCACGUCGGGUCUGGUUGACGUUAGAACGGUUGAGGUUGUAGUGGCGGUCACGUCGGGCCCGCUCUUUUUCAGCCUCGCGCUUACGGGCCUCCACCUCCUCGUCGCGGCGCUGGGGCAACUGAGGACGGUGGUGCUGAUUAAACCGCCACUUAGGGCCAAACUUCGGACGCGGUGGAGGCUUGCCGUCCACGAGACGGAAGGAGGAGUCGUCGUCGGGAUUGGCAGACAGAGGAAAGGAAUCGUCGGCGGAGAAGUCGAAAACGGUGUCGGCCGGAUUUUUGCUAGCGUUUUGGCGGUUUGAUGGAUUGUUGUAUGCGUUGCGGGUCCAGUCCGCGAUCCGACCAAGUUUUUCGGAUCGGGAGAAGGGGGCAAACGGCACGUGGAGAGGGAGGGCAGCGGUUGUGGUUGCCGUUGAUUCCGGUGGGCCCCAGCCGUCAGGAUUGAAUGGAACGGCUCCGAUCUCAAAUUCGCCGCUCACCAUUGUGAUUAGACUGAAGUGAAAAAGCUAGGGUUUUGAUUUCGGUGAAGUUGAAGUUAAUAUAAUCAGAUAAAAGAGUGCCAGUUCAACCCGUUUUUCAACUUGUGAGCUUGCCUUUUGCCUACUUGAGAUUGUGUACUAUGUGUAGGGUGUGUUACUUGGGCCAGAUGAACCCAACCGACAUAAACCGAACCCAGCCCUUUCUGGCCCAUUUGAUAAGUGGCCAUGAUUUUGAAAUACACCCCGAGUUAUUUAAAAUACUACCAUCCAAAUCCAAUCACAUCGCUUUGGAUUAAAAAUCCAUAUUAUUUGGUUAAACUUAAGUUGCCUGUGUUCAAAUUUUGAUAAUUUUAAAGUACUUUAUUUAUUUAUUUUUUAAGUUAGAGGUGCGCAAAUUUUUUUAAAUUUUAUUUUCUCUUUAGAUAUGCUUAAGUUCUAAUGUUUUUAAAAGCUAAUUAGGUUCAUGAUGUAGGAGAUGCCUCAUUUACUGCAUCAAGCAACCAUAUACAGGUAAUUAAUUUUUGUUGACAUUUUUGAAUCGGUAAGUGAAACAAAAGAUUAAAUAUUUUAGUUUACAAAUUAAUUUGUUGAUUUUUAAUACUAAAUUAAAAACAGUUGAUCAAUUGGAUGCAUACAGAUCAACUUAGUUAAUGCGCAUACUAGUUUGUAGACAUAACUAAUUUGUAUGUGUACUAUUAUUAAUUAGCCUUCUAUUAAUGAUUUCCUUCAAACUAAAUAUUUUUCGUAAUGUUCAAACUAAAUGAACAAAAAGUUUGAGCCUAAUAUUUAUGGGUAUCGAUGAGAGUCUGGAGAAGUGAAAAAUGACCAGUCACGCUUGUUUAGGGAUGGCAAUUCAACCCGGACCCAGACGAAACCUGGAUUUUUCGGACCGGGUUCAACCAGUACCGGAUUAAAUAAAUCUGAUAUCCGGAUACCAUUUUCAAAACCCGCAUAUAUCCGGGUCCGGUUCCGAGUUCAGGUGAACCCGUAUAUCCAGAAUCCGGACCUGGAUAUUUAUUAAUUUUAAUAUUAAUUUUUUAAAUUUAUUUUUAAUAUAAAUAGGAAAAAAAAGAGCCCAAAUGCCAAAUGGUACCCUAGCUCAUUUACACUUUCACAGCCGCAUCGACCAUUUCCUCUCUCAGUCCCUCUUUAGCUCAUCUUCAUCUUCAUCAAAUCAUCGUUUUCACCUUCACGGUUGUUCAUCAUCAUAAUCACCAGCCGCUGUUUCCUUGUCUUCUUUGGCGCGACCGGUAACCAACGGUGAUGCGGUUGUUCAUCAUCAUCAUUAUUUAUAGUUUAUUUAAUUUUGAAAUAUUUUUUAAUUGUUGGCUGUGAUAAUUCACUCAACCGAAGUGCUUUCACUUUCUUAUCUCUUUCGCCUACUCAUCUCAACUUUCUCUUUCGGUCUUUCAUCUGUUCUCUACAUGGACUCUGAGGAGUUACAUCGGUUCUAUACUGCCCUUUCUCUUCCCAAGGAAGAAUGCGAGGUAGUUGCUAUUGAGGGGAGUGCACACGAUGCAGGCGUACACAUAUUAGAACAGUGCUUGGUGGAGGAAGUUUUAACAAAUAAGGCAAUCCGUUUCGAAGGGUUCAAAACGACCACUCAACAAAUCUGGAGAACUACUCACGGGUUGAAAACUGAAAGUCUUGGAUGUUGCUGUUAAUAGAUUAAAGUGCUGGAAACGUGAUCGAUUUGAUUUAAAUGCAGCAAUAAUGAUGAUGAUAUUGAACCAAGAAUUGAACGAGCUGAUUUGUAUUUGGUUUGUUUAAAACCUAAAUUUGUACUUGAUUUGCUAAAAUCCUGGAUUUGUAUUUCUAUUUGAUUUUUCAAUUGAAUUUAGUUUUUUUUUUCAAUUGGAUUCAUCAAUCCGGGUUGAAAACCAGCAAUCUGGGAACCCGAAUUUUCCCGGGUUGAACCCGGACCGGGCCCGGAGUGGAAAAGGCAGGUUUAUUUCUGGGUCCGGUAUAAAAAAUAUGCGUCCGGGUCCAGAUCCGGAAAGGCUAAACCCGCACCCGGACCCAGAUUUUGCCAUCCCUACGUCUGUCAGCCUGUGUCUAUUCAAACCUGCACCCACCUGGGUUUGUGCGUGUGGUUAUAUUAUUUUUUUAAUAUUAUCAUUUAUAGAUUAUAAGUAUUUAGUUGUUAUUAUUAUUAUUAUUAUUAUUAUUAUUAUUAUUAUUAUUAUUAUUAUUAUUAUUAUUAUUAUUAUUAUUAUUAUUAUUAUUAUUAUUAUUAUUAUUAUUAUUAUUAUUAUUAUUAUUAUUAUUAUUAUUAUUAUUAUUAUUAUUAUUAUUAUUAUUAUUAUUAUUAUUAUUAUUAUUAUUAUUAUUAUUAUUAUUAUUAUUAUUAUUAUUAUUAUUAUUAUUAUUAUUAUUAUUAUUAUUAUUAUUAUUAUUAUUAUUAUUAUUAUUAUUAUUAUUAUUAUUAUUAUUAUUAUUAUUAUUAUUAUUAUUAUUAUUAUUAUUAUUAUUAUUAUUCCGGUUGAAAGUCUUUGAUAAAAUGUUAUUUUUUUUUUGGAAUACUGAUUAAUCAUCAGAUUACUGCAUUACACAGAUAUUUACAACAACUGCUAUUGUAGCAGAGAUAUUACACUGAUAUUUACAAUCAGAUAUACAUGAUUGGAACUUACAUUAUUACAUUGAAUUCUAUGAAGUAGAUGCCCAGACAAAUAACCUCUCACAGGAGAGGGAUGUCCAUACUCCACUUGCAUUUCGCAAGGGAGAAAGAUUUUUAAAUAUAAAGAACAUUUAGCCCCCACAAUGCUUUUGUGGGGGCUAGAACGGGAUGGCAAUUCAACCCGGACCCAGACGAAACCUGGAUUUUUCGGACCGGGUUCAACCAGUACCGGAUUAAAUAAAUCUGAUAUCCGGAUACCAUUUUCAAAACCCGCAUAUAUCCGGGUCCGGUUCCGAGUUCAGGUGAACCCGUAUAUCCAGAAUCCGGACCUGGAUAUUUAUUAAUUUUAAUAUUAAUUUUUUAAAUUUAUUUUUAAUAUAAAUAGGAAAAAAAAGAGCCCAAAUGCCAAAUGGUACCCUAGCUCAUUUACACUUUCACAGCCGCAUCGACCAUUUCCUCUCUCAGUCCCUCUUUAGCUCAUCUUCAUCUUCAUCAAAUCAUCGUUUUCACCUUCACGGUUGUUCAUCAUCAUAAUCACCAGCCGCUGUUUCCUUGUCUUCUUUGGCGCGACCGGUAACCAACGGUGAUGCGGUUGUUCAUCAUCAUCAUUAUUUAUAGUUUAUUUAAUUUUGAAAUAUUUUUUAAUUGUUGGCUGUGAUAAUUCACUCAACCGAAGUGCUUUCACUUUCUUAUCUCUUUCGCCUACUCAUCUCAACUUUCUCUUUCGGUCUUUCAUCUGUUCUCUACAUGGACUCUGAGGAGUUACAUCGGUUCUAUACUGCCCUUUCUCUUCCCAAGGAAGAAUGCGAGGUAGUUGCUAUUGAGGGGAGUGCACACGAUGCAGGCGUACACAUAUUAGAACAGUGCUUGGUGGAGGAAGUUUUAACAAAUAAGGCAAUCCGUUUCGAAGGGUUCAAAACGACCACUCAACAAAUCUGGAGAACUACUCACGGGUUGAAAACUGAAAGUCUUGGAUGUUGCUGUUAAUAGAUUAAAGUGCUGGAAACGUGAUCGAUUUGAUUUAAAUGCAGCAAUAAUGAUGAUGAUAUUGAACCAAGAAUUGAACGAGCUGAUUUGUAUUUGGUUUGUUUAAAACCUAAAUUUGUACUUGAUUUGCUAAAAUCCUGGAUUUGUAUUUCUAUUUGAUUUUUCAAUUGAAUUUAGUUUUUUUUUUCAAUUGGAUUCAUCAAUCCGGGUUGAAAACCAGCAAUCUGGGAACCCGAAUUUUCCCGGGUUGAACCCGGACCGGGCCCGGAGUGGAAAAGGCAGGUUUAUUUCUGGGUCCGGUAUAAAAAAUAUGCGUCCGGGUCCAGAUCCGGAAAGGCUAAACCCGCACCCGGACCCAGAUUUUGCCAUCCCUACGUCUGUCAGCCUGUGUCUAUUCAAACCUGCACCCACCUGGGUUUGUGCGUGUGGUUAUAUUAUUUUUUUAAUAUUAUCAUUUAUAGAUUAUAAGUAUUUAGUUGUUAUUAUUAUUAUUGAUGUACGGUACAGCAGUAUUAUUAUUAUUAUUAUUCCGGUUGAAAGUCUUUGAUAAAAUGUUAUUUUUUUUUUGGAAUACUGAUUAAUCAUCAGAUUACUGCAUUACACAGAUAUUUACAACAACUGCUAUUGUAGCAGAGAUAUUACACUGAUAUUUACAAUCAGAUAUACAUGAUUGGAACUUACAUUAUUACAUUGAAUUCUAUGAAGUAGAUGCCCAGACAAAUAACCUCUCACAGGAGAGGGAUGUCCAUACUCCACUUGCAUUUCGCAAGGGAGAAAGAUUUUUAAAUAUAAAGAACAUUUAGCCCCCACAAUGCUUUUGUGGGGGCUAGAACCGCUGCCCUCACAAUGCUAUAAAAUAUUGUUAAUAUAUCUAAAGAUGGAGAAAUUUUAGAAUAUAUUAGAGGUAUGAUUUCAGAAAUAUAACAAGUAAAUGAUGCUAUGACAUAUGCGUAUUUAUUUUAAAAAAUCACCAUAUAAAUAAUAGUUAUAUUAAAUUUAAUUACACACACGCAUAAUGGUUAGGUUUUUUUCAGUUUCGAUUCAAUAUUUUUAAAGCUAAAAAAAUGUAAAAGUACCAAACCAAACCAUUUGAAAUUGAACCGAGAGUAACAAAACCCGAACUGAAUCGAUAAUAUCAUUUUGAUCCCUAUCCUUUAUAAAAUUUUAGUAUCACCCAAUGUUUACGAAAUGUUUGCAUGUAGAAAUUUUGUUAUGUCGUAAUAUUUUUUGUAAACUUUUAAAGAGGGUCCACCUUGAAAGGAAGUUGUUGGGUAAAAUAUUGUUAUGGUCCCUAAAGUUUUGAUAAAACUAUUAUGGCAUGGAAACUUAAUUUAUUUUAUUUAAAUUUUAGUCCAAAUUUUUUUAUAUUAAAGAUAGUCAUAAUAAUUACGAAAAUUCUUCAUUAUAGUCCAAAAUGAUUGCAAUUUUUUUUUUUUGUGAAUACCAAUUUAUAAAUUAUUUAUUUUUAUUUAUUAUACAUUGAUCGUAGUAGAUCUUGUGUACAAGUUAAGCCGAACCAAAAAAUUAAUUUGUUAAUCUAAACCAUCACCGAAAAAUCAAAACCAAACUAAAAAAUUAAAACCGAACUGAAAAAUUAAGAAAUCGUACCAAACUAAACUAUUAGUUUCGAUUCUAUUUUUAUUAUCCUUAAAGACUGGAUGAUUUUUUUUAAAAUUUCAAAUCCGAAUUAAACCGAAAUAAAAAAUUUAUUCCAAAACCAAAUCGAUCCUAACCAACGCCCACCCCCAUUAGUUAAUUGUAAUACAUUAAAACUGUUUAUAAAUCUCUCCUAAACUUGGCACUGAGCAGUGUCGUAGUAUAAUUGCGUAGUGUAUGGAUAAACAUUUUGAAGUUUGAACCCUGACCACAACAACACAGGGGAUGGAUCCCACCAACCCCACCAUUGAUUUGAAAACUCGAAGCAGCCUUGCGUGCCUCAAAACUGGGUAAUAUGCUUUUAUUUAUUAGCUACACUGAUUACUGAUUACCAGCACUGGAAUUGAUGUAGCCACAAAAUGAGUGGAUAAGGAAGGAGAUCUCUUCUGCUAUGGCCAUAAUCAUAUAAGCCAAUGCAUUCAGAUUUACGCUCCAUUUUAUUUUACUUUCUAAGUUUCUAGUCUUGAAGGAAAAAUUAAAACAGUAACCAUGUGGCACCUUUUUUUUUUCUUUUUCUAUAUAUAUAUAUAUCGCAUUGCAUGGCAACAUACACUGUUGCCCUUUAUGCAUUAUUCUGUUCUGUUGUACAUAAUAUGAUGAAAUAAACCUCUACGUGCAAUAUUAAUUGACUUUAUUACUAAAAUGUCUCUUCUCAUUAAUUAAUACAUCAAUUAAUAUGCAAUUGUGUCUGAAGACUUGCAUUAGCGCUUUUAACAUGCAAACAUAUGGCCAGUCAUCAAUAAUCUUCGACGGGUUUAAUUAAAAAGGAAGAAAUUAAUAAAGAAAGCAAACUCAUUCUCUCACACCUUAAACCAAAGUGCAUCUGAAUUUACAAGCAAUUUUGACAUAGAAAUAUUCUUUUACUUUUGCUAGUUGUCACUCAUCUUCCCGGAGUCUUCAAAAUCUGUGGCCAUAUAAUAAAUGUUUUAUAAGCUGAUUGCAAACAUGAUUUGAUUUCUCAUACCAAUCUCAAAUUCUAAAGUGUAGGAUUUAGAAUAAUAUGCAUGCAGUCGCUUGUGAACAUUGCAUGUUCUAGCAAUCUGGCUAUUUAAUAUCCAGUACAAUCCUAGUUAACCUAAUACUAUCAUAUCUAAUUUAAUCCGGCAGGCCAAAUGCACCCAAAUUACCACGAUAGCAUAUAUAAAGAUGAGCAGUGUUGUGUAACUAGACCACUACAACGCAAAGAGGAAUGGGUCCUGUUGGUUUGAAAACUUGAAAAAGCCUAAAUUAAUUUCAACAUGGGAUGUCUAGUGAUAUUAUUAGUUAAAUACAAAUUAUGUAACUGUAAACAUUAUUGUGUUCAGAUUGACUUAGACUUUAUUUAUUUUCUAGCACAAGUAGUUGAGGGGGAAAAAAAAUAAAUGAAACUCUAUUCUCUGUCACUUAAAUAUUUUCCUCAGCUCAGAAGAAUCAAUACUCGUUUAAAUUUCUACUUUCUGAUUUAUUUGAUGAUGAAAAAAUAUUUUAUGCUCUAAAAUUAAAUUGCAAAUAUGGCCUCAUGAGGAAAUGGACCCGCGAGAAACAAAUAUUAUAUUUAUGCGUGCAAUCCUUCAACAACAUAUCCCUUCAAUACCCUUCAUGACUUCAUCCCAUGUCAGUCUUCUUGACUGCUUCAAACAUAUAAAUGACCAGUCAUCAAUCAUCUUUGAAGUGGGGAAAAAGAAAGGAAAAAAAAAAAGGAAGAAGAAGGAAAUAAACUCAUUUUUUCACUCUUUCAAAAAAAAAAAAAAAAAUCAUUUUUUCACACCUAAAAAAAAGUGUAUCUAAUUUUACAAACAAUUUGACACAUUUAGAAGAUCUUUAUACUCUUGCCAGUUGCCACUCAUCUUGCUAAAGUCUUCAAAACUAGUAGCCAUAUAUAUCUAUUGUAUAUAUAAGUUGAAUACAAACAUGAUUUUCCAAUAUUACCAAUCUCAAAUUCAAAAGUCGCAACCAAAUUGAUUAUCUCCUCUAACAAUUUAGAAGAUACAUGCUGUACUUGUAUGUAAACAUUACAUGUUAAUCUAGCUAUUUAAUAUAAGAAUGGAAGGAAUGUCAAAGUCAACAUGUGAUGAACAAGGAACAUUGAGAGGUCAAGAUUUUUAUAUAUUAAUCUAAACAGACGAGACCAAAUGUGCCCAUUUGUAGCCAAUAAGAUAUAACCAGCAGAAGCAUAAAUAAUUAACGCUAGCUUUAUCAAAUCCACAUUAUGAUCAUCAAAUUAAGUGUAACCCAAAAUUAAUCAAGCAACUAAGUGUAAUCCAAUAUUAAUCAAGCAAUUAUCGUAGCAUUUGAAAGCAAAUAGUCGUCUGAACACAUUACCAGAUGAAAUAUUCAAAAGCUGCUGCACUAGCCGUAGUUUAACUAGAAUUAAUUAAUAACACACAGAACUCUAAUCACACUUUAAUUAGCUAGGGUUAUUGUGUCGAUAGCUAGACAGUCAAAUACAGUUCUUUUUUUCAACUGCAUCAACACAAAAACCAAGAUGGAAAGACUACUAAGAACAAAAAAUCCUCAAUGGGCACACUUUUUAAUUAGAGCAUUUAGGUUUCUAGAUCAUAUUGAUGCAAAUAUAUUGAGUGAUGAACCUUACAUGCUUCCUCCAUAAAAAAGGAAUCAUGCAUCUUACCGUAUACUUCAAAAUGCACUACCAUCUUGGCCAAACUUCUUCAGUCUCUCUGAUAUCCUUGCUGAAGCAUCAUGGUCCGACCCAGAAUCUCCAAUCUGCUUCACAAUUUAAACAGCCAAAAGAAAUUUGUAAACCACUGAAACAUUCUUAAUUAGAAAACCUAAAGAUGAUUGUUAUAUAUGUAAUAUGUUUGUGCAACUUAAUUAAUAAUACCUUGGAAUGUAUUGUGUGAAAGAUGGUAUCUUCAACAACAUUGAAACUGGCAUUGACUAUUUCAACACCUUCUUCGUGGAGCAAGCGAAUAGUCUCAAUAAACAUGAACUGAAAAUCCAACCCAGUUGUCAAAACCACCUCCAAAGCCGAACCCAUUUCGUGAAUCUCAAUUUGCGGUGACCUUAACCCGGUCGUUAUUGUUCCACUACUAUUCCCACUGCUGCUUGUGGCUGCAGCUGCAUCAGGCUUUUCAAUUCCCAUUAACCUCUCUUUUCUCUCCUUCAUUCUCUCCAAGUUUGUCUGUAACCUCUUUAUGUACUUGGUAGCUUCAUCUAGCUGAUCAGGUAGUGAUGUCGCUUCCUGCAACUCCAUGUUGAUUAAACCGAAAAGAAAAACAGAAAUGAUCAGUUAGAAAAUUAAUGUUGUUGAGAGAGAGAUAUAUACCAUAGGUCUUUGAUGGGGCACAAUAGAAUUGAGAGUGGAGUAAAGGGCCUUCAUUUGAUUUCUUCUAUUUCUCUCAAUGGUUUUUCUGUCAGUUCUAGAGGAACUAGGGUUGUUCUCCAUCAGGAUUAUUUUUAUUUCCCUCUGUUAGUUCCUUAAAUUACUUAAUAGAUGUAAGUUUUGCCUGGGUUUUUAUCACGGAAAAGAAAAGUCAAUUGCCGACGAAAAAAGAAACAAAAGACUAUUACUAUCAUGAGAUGCUACUGAAAAAGCGUUUGCUAAUUUGAUGAGAGGAUGGUGGGGG